AUGGGUGCAACCCAAGAGACUGUAGACGAGGGCUCCGGCUUCACCUUCAGCAGCUUCGGCAUGAACUGGAUCCGUCAACCGGCCGGGAAGGUGCCCGAGUUCGUCGCGGCUAUUAGCAGCAGUGGUGGUAGCACCUUGUACGCGGAUGCGGUGCAGGGUCGUUUCACCAUCUCCAGGGACAACGGGCAGAGCAGCCUCUACCUGCAGAUGAACAGCCUCAAGGUGGAGGACACGGCCACCUACUACUGCGCCAAAGCUGCUAGUGCUGGUGCUUGGGAUGCUGCUGCUGGUGCUUGGGCUGCUUAUGCUGCACCAUAA